UAAGACAGAAAUAAAUUAAAGACUUCACAAAACAUUUCUGUACACCGUUAAAUAAUAAAUACAUUCAAGGUAUAUAUAAUGGAAGGGAAAGCUGUUAUCAUUUUCUUUGGAUUUAUAGCAUGUGCUUUUGCUGUGUAUCCAGUCAAGAAAGCUUGUGAAAUUGAAUGCUCGAGUCGUCUAGAUUGCCAAACAGGUUACCAUUGUCAAACAGUAGGAUGUAAUCGUUUGUGCAGACCUGAAAGAGUAAUUUUAUCAAAUACAGUAGUUAGAUCAGAUAUUAUUACAUCUGGAUGCGUUGAGAGAUGUAUGCUGCGAGGUGGACAAGAUUGUAGACGUCUUUGCCAGCGUAGUGUUGAUUCAUUUCCUGGAGAUUCCUUAGACAGGACCUUCACAGGUGCUUUAGUAGAUCCUAUUCGGUCAGGUAGUCUAGUUAGACGUAUUUCGCCAGUAGAUUCUAUUCGGUCAGGUAGUCUAGUUAGACGUAUCUCGCCUGUAGAUUCUUUUCGGUCAGGUAGUCUUGUUAGACGUAUAUCGCCAGUUGAUUCAAUAUUGUCAAAAGGCUGUCAAAAUACGUGCAUUUCACGGGGCUGCAACUUCAACGAGGAAUGUGUCACAAGAGAUGGAUGUUCUGUAUGUGUUCUUGCCAAGACAUACGCAUAAAAUAAGACAACCGAGGCCACAUUAAAUAGUGCAAUAUUUAUUUUGUAUUUAUCCAUGUAUUGGUAUAUUUUAUCAUGUUUUGAUACACGA